AGUAAAAGUCGUAACAAGGUUUCCGUAGGUGAACCUGCGGAAGGAUCAUUAUCGAGUUUUUUUGAACGGGUUGUAGCUGGCCUUUUCAUGAGGCAUGUGCACGCCUGGCUCAUCCACUCUCUUACCUCUGUGCACCAUCUGUAAGAAAAAGGGUUGCCGACUGCUAGCCGGUUGAAGACCUGCUUUCUUAUGUUUUAUUACAAACAUGGCUUUAGUAUCAGAAUGUAUUUUGUUAUCUUGCGUAAUGCAUUAUAAUACAACUUUCAGCAACGGAUCUCUUGGCUCUCGCAUCGAUGAAGAACGCAGCGAAAUGCGAUAAGUAAUGUGAAUUGCAGAAUUCAGUGAAUCAUCGAAUCUUUGAACGCACCUUGCGCUCCUUGGUAUUCCGAGGAGCAUGCCUGUUUGAGUGUCAUGGAAUUCUCAACCUGAAGAAUAAUUUUGUUAUUAUUCUGAGGGCUUGGACUUGGAGGUUUGUGUCGGCUCUUAGUAAAAGAGUUGACUCCUCUGAAAUGUAUUAGCGUGAAUCUUACGGAUCGCCCUCAGUGUGAUAAUUAUCUGCGCUGUGGUUGUGUGAAGUAUUUAAUUGACUCAUGCUUACAGUCGUCUCUUGGUAAGGGACAAUUUUAAUAUGACAUCUGGCCUCAAAUCAGGUAGGACUACCCGCUGAACUUAA
rnacentral:rRNA from 1 species